rnacentral:rRNA from 1 species
AACGAACGCUGGCGGCAGGCCUAACACAUGCAAGUCGAACGCCCCGCAAGGGGAGUGGCAGACGGGUGAGUAACACGUGGGAAUCUUCCUCGUAGUACGGAACAACUCAGGGAAACUUGAGCUAAUACCGUAUACGCCCUUCGGGGGAAAGAUUUAUCGCUAUGAGAUGAGCCCGCGUCCGAUUAGCUAGUUGGUGAGGUAAUGGCUCACCAAGGCUACGAUCGGUAGCUGGUCUGAGAGGAUGAUCAGCCACAUUGGGACUGAGACACGGCCCAAACUCCUACGGGAGGCAGCAGUGGGGAAUAUUGGACAAUGGGCGCAAGCCUGAUCCAGCCAUGCCGCGUGAGUGACGAAGGCCUUAGGGUUGUAAAGCUCUUUUGGCGGGGAAGAUAAUGACGGUACCCGCAGAAUAAGCUCCGGCUAACUUCGUGCCAGCAGCCGCCGCAG